UCCAAUGUGGUGUAGUGGUUAACAUUGCUGUCUUUCAUGUUAAAUUAAUGUUCACAGCAGCCCGGGGUUCGAUUCCCCGCAUUGGAA